ACGCGCUUGGACGUUCUUUCCUUCGCGUCCGGCGCCGGCCGGGCGGCGUCCACGCCAAAGGCUGGGCUGGAGGCAGCGCGAGGAGGCCUGGGGGAAGCCAUCCAGGGGGUCAGAGAGAACAGUUUCUUGUUCAGUGGGAGCUGAGUAAGUCGGCCCUGUCUCCCUGGAGUCCUGAGCUCAGGUUUGCGGAAACGCCUGGGACGCCCAGCGUGUGCCCACCUCUGUAGCCGCUCUCGGCUCGCUGGGUGACCCCGGAAGUUUUAGAAAUUACCCGUCGGCCCGAAUGAGGCUUCACCAAAACGUGUUGUCAAAGACAAUGAAGCUGACUUUGCUUUCUGAGGCCAGGUGGUUUGGUCUGCUGCAGGACCAGGGCUCGAAAAAUCUGAGGAGCAUGUUCAGGAAGUCACUCGGUCGAGCUGGGAUGGGACCGGGGAAUGUGCGCGCCCGCCCCGUAGCAGGUGGCUCGUCGCCUUGGACCGGGUGCGUGAGUGGUUCCCUUACUUCUCUCCAACAGACGGAAAGUUUACUCGGUAUCUGUCGGCAGGGACUUGACAGCUAGCGAGCCCCAAUUGAACACACUUUACCUGUCUUAACUAGUACGUCAAUCAAGAACUUAUGCCCCGUGUGUUUGGAGAGGCUAAACUGCUGUGAGUUGAAAUUUUUUAAACUCCAGGACAAGUUUUCAGACAACCUUAAAAUAAAACGACCGGUAUUGGAAAUGGAAAUUUAAAUAAACAUGCUCUCUGACCAGCCUUUUUGUGGUCUUAGCUAUGAAAAGCCUUGGCAUAUUCAAAACCUUCGCUAGAGAAAAUGCCAUCGAUGCAACAAGAAAACGUGAAAUAUUCCAGGUUAUUUUUUUUUUAAUGCUGUAAAACUUUAUUGAGAGAACUUUAACAGUGAAGUAUCCAACAUAAGAAUAAUCUGUGUGUCUUCAGAUCAUCUUCCUUUAAAUGGCUGGUUUUCCUUCCCCUGUUUCUGGCAUUUCAAUGGGCUCUGGAUUUGCACAAGCAUGCCCGAUGACUUCAGGAUCAUCUCCACCCUCAGCCCCAGUCAUUGGUUUCGCCAGUUCUUGAAGAUCAGCUUCAAGGUCAGUUCCUUGAACCUCAGGUGCUCCUGCAUCUGCUUUCUCUUCAUCAGGUGUAAUAUCCUGACUCUCAGUGGGUGGCUCCUCUUGUUGAGGUUGUUCAUCCCUGGGCUGCUGGUCAACCACGGCUCCAACUGGCUGGUCUGAUUCUUCAUCUUCUACUAGUAUUGAACUCCAAUCGAGCCUUGGUGUUACAUGCCGACUCAUAUUUCACACAGUUGAGUCUCAGGAAGUGAGAAAGAAUCGAAAUGAAGGAACGCGGCAGCCUUUCGCCAGCUCUUCUCCCGGAACUCUCCAGCACCUUGAUUCUUCUAUUAUUGUUUUCUUCCUACAAGUGUACCAGUUAAUGCGAAUUUUUUUCAAUAG